rnacentral:rRNA from 1 species
GCGCGAAAACUUUACAAUGCUGGCAACAGCGAUAAGGGAACCUCGAGUGCCAGGUUACAAAUCUGGCUGUCGAGAUGCCUAAAAAGCAUUUCAUAGCAAGGGCCGGGCAAGACCGGUGCCAGCCGCCGCGGUAACACCGGCGGCUCGAGUGGUAACCGUUAUUAUUGGGUCUAAAGGGUCUGUAGCCGGCCGGAUAAGUCUCUUGAGAAAUCUGGCAGCUUAACUGUCAGGCUUUCAGGAGAUACUGUCUGGCUCGAGGCCGGGAGAGGUGAGAGGUACUUCAGGGGUAGGGUGAAAUCUUGUAAUCCUUGAAGGACCACCAGUGGCGAAGGCGUCUCACCAGAACGGACCUGACGGCAAGGGACGAAAGCUAGGGGCACGAACCGGAUUAGAAACCCG